rnacentral:rRNA from 1 species
AGAUUGAACGCUGGCGGCAGGCCUAACACAUGCAAGUCGAGCGGCAGCACGGGUACUUGUAUCUGGUGGCGAGCGGCGGACGGGUGAGUAAUGCCUAGGAAUCUGCCUGGUAGUGGGGGAUAACGCUCGGAAACGGACGCUAAUACCGCAUACGUCCUACGGGAGAAAGCAGGGGACCUUCGGGCCUUGCGCUAUCAGAUGAGCCUAGGGUCGGAUUAGCUUAGGUUGGUGGGGUAAUGGCUCACCAAGGCGACGAUCCGUAACUGGUCUGAGAGGAUGAUCAGUCACACUGGAACUGAGACACGGUCCAGACUCCGUACGGGAGCAGCAGGUGGGAUAUUGGACAGUGGGACAAAGUCCUAGACUCGAGCCAGUCGGCCGUCGUGUAGUAGGAAACGUAAGGUUCCUUACGGAUUUAGUAAAGCUAACGUUUUAGGUAGGGACGGAAGGUCUAAGUUACCUAAGUACGUAUUCGUUAGUUUACGACGGUUACAUAAGGUAAUACGCGAACCCGU